rnacentral:lncRNA from 10 species
UAGUCCUGCUCAGCACUGCAAGAUUUCCAACAUUUUUACUGAUAGGCCCUGCACAGUCUUAGGAAUCGCCAGGAAGAAUGAACAAGUGAGUCAUCGGUCAGUCACCCCAAAGCGUGUGAAGAUAGGAGGUGGGGAGGGACAAGUGCUGUAUCUUUCAAAGAAAAAAAUACUUUAGCUGCUUACCUCCACUGUGACAUGCAUUUUUGAAAGUAGAGCCUAGUCCCUCCUGUCUUCCGCAGCUGUCUUUGCGUAUUGAGAUGACACCUGCAAGAAGGAGAUGGCAACACCUGGAGGUAUGCGUGGGUCUGCAAAUUUGUGGCUACGACAGGACACCUGGGAUUUUAGGGAAACACUAAGGAGUCAUUGUGGAUCAUGCAAGGGGCAUUGGACCCUACCAGGCUGGACUUUCAGAGGGGCAGGCAUGCUGAGUUUUAGUUUAGAGUGGUUGCACGGGGGCCUCUUCAUCAUGAAUCUGGAAACCCUCUAUCAUUAAGGAUUAGUUCACAGAUUUCCUGAAAGUAAAAGAAAAAUGGAAAAGGACUGGUGCUCUUAGAAGAGGAAGACACCAGAGCUGUCCCUCUCUCGGCUUGCACUAAGGAGGAGGUCACGUGAGCACACAGUGAGAAGGCGGAGGACCAUCUGCAAGCAGGAAGAGAGCCCUCGCUAGAACCCCCCACGGUGGCAUCUGAUAGUGGACUUCUAGCUUCCAGAACUGUGAGAAAAUACAUUUCUGUUGCUUAAGUCACCCAGUUUGUGGCAUUUUGUCAUGGCAGUCUGAGCAGACUAAUACGAUGAACUUGCAUUUGGGUUGCUGCUACUCAUAAUGGCUGGCAUUUGUAUAGCACUUUGCAAGGUGAUUUUAUAUCUCUGAUUUACUUCUCACAAAACCUCUUGAGGCUGGUAUUAAUGUUGUGAUUUUACAGAUGAGGAAAAAGCCUCCUAAGAGCUCUCUGAUAAUCAGUGAUCAAACUGAGAUUGGAAAUCGGGGCUUCUGAGCCCUACUCCUGUGCUGUAACCACUCUGCAAAAUUGUUUUACAGAUCUCCCGUGGUUGCCCGAUACAGACUGUACCUGGGCAAUGCUGAACAUGAGAGUGAAUCCAUGGCUGCUCACACAUUUGAAUCCGCUCAAUAGAAUAAUCAAAAGUUCAGGAACAUGGAAAUCAAUAUCACACAGUUAAUAAGGGGUCUUUUCCAGAAUAUCAAAAUUAUUUGUGUACAAAUGCAUAUUUAAAUGCAAGUGUGUAAUUGACAAAAAACAUGAACAAGAAAUCUACAGAUGAGGAAGUUCAAAUGCUAAUAAUUGUUUUUAAAUGUGCAAACUUCUUAGUCAAAAAGAAAGAGGGGUCAUUUUUACAAUUAUCUAAUUAGGAAAAAAAUUUAAAAUCUUGUAAUAUCAAGCAUUGAGGAGGAAGUGUCAUAAAUUAAUUCAGCCUGUUUGGAGAAUAGUUUGUCCAUAUCUAGUAAAGCUGUAGAUGGGUACACCCUACAUUCCAGGAGUUGACUUCUAGAUGUAUAUUCUAGAGAAAAAUCUGUUUGUGUACACAAACAGAUAUGAUCAAAGAUAUUCAUUGCAGUCUUCUUAGUAAUCACAAAAAAAUUGGAAGCAAGCUAAAUGUCUGUCAAUAAGGUAAUGGGUGAAGUAUAGUCCAUUCAUAUAAAGAAACAUUCUCUAGAAUUUAAAGUUAACGGACUUAACUCCAUCAAUAUAGAUACAUCUCAAAAACGUGUUGAGUGAAAAGGGCAAGUUACAAAACAGUUAUGUGUUCUUAAAAAUUAUUUAGGAACCAAUUGAUAUUAUAUAUUGUUUGUAAAUACCUAAGUAGUAAAAAUAUAAACAUGGAUAUAAAGAAAAUCCACCUUCAAGGUAAUGAUUACCUUUGACGAGGGAGAAAAAGAAAUGAUAAAAGGGAAGUUCUUAUCUGACUUUUUACUUCAGACUUUUUUCUAAAGCAAAUGGGAACAAAGAAUUAACGUGUUAAAUCUGAGUGUCAUGUGGGUAUAUGCUAAAUUAUUCUCUAUACUUUCAUGUAUAUAUACAUUUUUUAUAAUUUAAAAUCUCAAAAUAUUUUGGAAGAUCAGUAUUCUCCUGACCAUUCGCUGUCAGCACUCACAGCCCCUGUCCAGGUAUUUAUAUUCUCCAGAGCAAACAAGGGCAGGUAUUCAUAUUCUCCAGAGGGCCAAAAGAGGCACUCAGAGAAAAUGCCUUCUGAAGGGGCCCCAGUAAGUCAAACGUAGAUUGGAGUGUGGCAGCCUAGCCAGGAGCAGGCACCAUGCCCACACUGUGCUAAACACAGAUGCUGUAUGGGGCCUGAGACCCUAACUUACAAUAGUGGGGAAGAGUCAGGAACAACUUCCCUUGGCUCUGCCUGUCUUCACCCUAGAUUAGAAGUCACCACCUGCCUUAUGACUUGGCUCUAACACUCACAUAACAGCUUAAGAAAUCAAAAACUUAAAACUAUUUCUUAAAAGCAAUUAAUGUGAGACUUAGGCAAUUUUUUUCUUGGGUCUACAUAAAGCUUAGCUUUGCUAAAAGUGGUUUGUUUGUUUUGCAGGGAUAACAAAAAUAAAAAAUAUAAUUAGUGUUUCAUGAGUCACCCAGCUGACAUGCACCUCUUCCUUUUAAAAGCAAGCUAUUGAGACACCUUCACCAUUCAACACCUUCCCUUUCCCUGCUGCCUCCCUUUUCCCCUCCGAAUUCAAGGUUCUCCUAGACUUGCAGAAACUUUGUGUGAUAUGUUCAACGUUUACAUCACCUUCCUAAAACAUGUGUUUUCUAGAUUCUUCUUGGACAUCAGCUGACUUAACCAUUGAGGAAAUAAAUGAACAUCUAUUGAGCACCUGUUAUGUGCUGAUGCUUGCUCACUACUUGUUUCAUUUGGCUUUACUGGAUUCUUAUGACAAUUCUUUAAAAUGUGUGUAAUCAUUAAUAUUACCUUCAUUGCAGAACUAAGAAAACUGACUCAGAAUGAGUAAGUAACUUGUCUGCGUUUACAAAGCUAAUAACUCUACUAGGUGUAGUCAGGAUUUAAAAGCCACACUGGGACUCAAAGUCCUGGGUUCUGAUUCUGAAUCUGUGACUCAUGAAUGUGACCGUGUGGAUCACUUACCUGUCAGAGCUUUAGUUUUCUCAUUCCUGAAAUGAAGGCAGAGGACUAGAUGAUAUCCAAGUUUCUUCCUAAUUUUAUGAUAUUUUCUGUGGCAAUUGUAUUAUACAAAAAGGACAGAAGAGACCACUUAUUUUACCAUCUAUAUUUCUUUUCCUGCUCUCUGUGGACAACACUUCAAGGAAUGAGUUUACCAACUGAAAAAAGAUCAGUGAGCCAAAAGUGUCCUGCUCAACCAAAUGUUCCAUUAAGCCAUGAUUUCUCUGGGCAGGACUCAUAUCCGGCUCUUUGUUCUGUGAAAUACUGAUACAUCUGGCAAUCAACCUGUGUUAUUACAGUUACUGAGUGUCUAGUAAGCACAAAGAAUUAGAAGCUGAAAGAGACCCUGUGCACAUUAAAAACUUGAAAAGCAAUGCCUUGAACUGCAUCCACUUGCAUUACUUUGAAAUCCUCUUAAUUUGGAGAUAAAGGGACUUGCUUGCUAUUCAUAGCAUGGGGGUGUCACUGUUUUUCUUUUGCCCUAUUUGUCCACAGUGUCAAGUUCAUAUCAGGUACCUGGAGCUCGAUAAUUCAGGACCAGGGGCAAAUAAACUUUGGAUAUGAAAGGACAGAUGUCUAUUUACUCCAGUGGU